GUCCGCGGGGUUGCAGGGGCUGGGGGUGGCGCGAGGGGGGCCGAGGCUCGGGCCGGGGGUGGGGCUCCUCCGCCCGCCAGUCGCUCCCGCAUUAAAAUUUCAUGGGCGCUGCAGCAGCUUACAAAGACGACGCCGGCUGAGCUCGGGGGACCGGAGGGAGGGAGGCUGCGGACGAGUGCGGGGAGGAGUUUGCGAUGGGAGGCGCUUGCAGGGGCUCCCCCAGUUCUGCGCCGUGAGCCCGGGCACAAAGAGCCCUCUGCACUCGCGCCGCAGGACCGCGGACCCGAGUGACAGCUGGACCCAUCACCCUGCCCACCCAUGGGGUUGCAGACACAUCGACGUGACCACUACGACCAUAACAGCAUCGAAGAACAGCCAGGAUGACCCUUCUGUGCACCCUUGGGGUAACAGACUCCAGCUUCAUGCUAUGAAAUCCAUUUGGGUGGAAACCCCCUGAAUCUUAGAGGUUUGCCUUUUCUGGACAUGUCACGUACGUACAUGGAGUCAAACAGCACGCAGCCUCUUGUGCCUGGCUUCUUUUCUCUCUGUAUUCUAUCUUCGAGGUUCGUCCAAGUCGCAGCACGUAACAAUCAUUUAUUCCUCUUUACUGAGGCGUAGCUUUUGUUAUACGAACGUACGAAUGUUCAUCCACCCACAAGGACAGGAUUUUGACUUGAUCUGUGUUACUGGGGUUAAAGGCACCCGCAUUUCAGGAGGCAUAUCCUGUUUCUGGGACACUGGUGUUACACAGAUAUUUCCUCGACAGGUGAAAACAAUUUUGGGAGCUCUCACCGUGUGCCAAGUCAGUGGCUACACCUUGGAGCGUAAUGAACAUCGAGUCGCACAUCGGACAGCUACCUGCUUGAAUCAAGGGUUGACGUUUCCCUCGAAACCUUCAUUGCCUUAUGGAUAUCGGGGUCUGCGGAACCAGGGGAAGGGCCACUGUGAACAGCCUAGGGUCUAUUAACAGAGUGCAGCGAGGUCCUGGGACAGAGGAGAGAGAAGGGAUUUCCGAGUUCCUCCCGAACGUUCCUGGCCACACCCGGGAAGCCGCCUUGCAGAUAAGUAUUCCAGUUUACCUGCCCACAGCCUACCCGCCUGCUCUCUCUCAGUCUGUGCAGGAAAGUACAGAACCUCAGAAUCCCCAUGUGGGAGGGGAGAUGGGUGAUCAGAUUUUCUAGCCCUCUAGGUCACAAACAGAGACCUUUUCCCCAUUUUACGGGGCCCCAGAGAGGGUGACCGUCACACCCCUCUUUUGGCACGGAGGCUAGCAUUUAGUCAACUCCACCAUCAGGAACUUCUGUAGACUGGAGUUUAAUGACCUCAUAUUGAGAACCUGUAGAUCUGGGGUCAGAAGAAGUGAGUCAGAUGGGGGUUGGGGACUCCUGGUGGCUCUUCUCAGUGGCCCUUUGUCAUUAUCAUAUUUAUAAAGCUUGGCCCAGGGCUCCUUUACCCAGCAGUGAAGUGGGGACGUGGGCACGGUGACUCUAGGGCCACAUUCUUUCCUCCAGAUCUGGACCCGUGCCCUGAGUCCCAGGUGCCCGAAGCAAGCUCUGGACACAUGCUAAGAGGCGCCCCCGACUCUCCUGGCCCAGCUCUGCCAGCCGAUGAAGAGAGCUUAGCUGUCACCAGAAGCAAAACUGAGAUAUGAUUCUGGGUCAGGACUAGGAGGCAUUUGAUGGGGGCAAAAACGUAUCCGAGGCUGAUCUGUAGGGCCCCCCUCUUUCCCCUCCACUGCCUCACACUGUGGGUUAGUACUGUGCACUCUGGGUGAACGUAGGGCUGGAAGGAUCCCAGGGUGCAGAGAGAGAGAGAGAGAGAGGGACAGACUUCCCCGGGGCUACACAGAAUGGCAAAGCUGGAUCAGGACUCUGGAUUCCUGACUCCAUUCACUGCUUCUGCUCAGCUGAAUUUGUCUUACUUUGUCCUGAGGCCCCUUCUGCAGUUUUUGGGGAACAGGGAGGUGGGUGAGGGAGCCCCCCCUUAUCCCGAGGACAUUCUGGGGUGGGAGGAAGGGAGGUAAAGGGGAGUGUGUCUGGGCCCAGCCUCUCUGGCCCAGGGUGCCCUUCUUCUUACUAGCAGAGAAUUCUGGCCAGGCCCGGGCUGGGGGAUGGGGUCUGGGUGCAGUUUUCUCCUGCGGUGUGGUUGGCUCUUUUGUCUUCCAGGAUGGGAUCUACACGGAAAAGGAGCUGGGAGCUGGGCCUGGGCUGCCCACGUGCUGGCUGGGUGCUUCCAGGUAAACCUGGCACAAACACGGACCAAGUACCUUCUCCCAGCGAGAUUCCGGGGAUCCAGAGGUUCACUCCAGAGACACAGUUCCACCCUCUCAGAUCUUCACACCAGAAUGUGCUUUAUCACGGUCUCAGAGAAGGAGUGGCCCUUCCCGGCUGCGUCUCCAGGACUCCUGGUGUGGUCUCUCUGGAGCCCGCGUGACUCUGGACUCCGGCCACAGUGAUACAGGGAGCAGCCUUUGCUGGUUUUCUGGAACUCUGGACAAUUCUCGAGAGACCUCAUUUUUCCCAGCUGCUCAGAUGGAGCCUCAGACAAAAGGAUCAAGGGCCCUUCUGGUUGGCGCUUGGCUGAGGACAGGCCCUGGCUCUGGAGGGCAGCUGGAGGGAGGGCUACGAGGGAGGCUGGCCGCCCACUGUCCCUCCGUGUCCCCCUAGACCCUGCCUAUCAGACCUUACCUUGUGUGCCUGGACACCACUUUUUGGCCUUGUGCCGACCUGAUGGCUCUCUGCAGCCCUGCUCCUGGGCCAAGGCCCCACGGACCAUACCCUUACCAAGGCUGGGUCUGGAAGGACCCUCCAGGCUGGGGCAGGACCACAGGGAUGGGAGUCAGGGUGGAGCUGCCUAGUGGAAGGGAGGCCAGACACAGCUUCGUGGGCUCCAUCGCCUGGCGUCUGUCUUGCGCCGUUUGCCUUGAGCGAUUCUCAUUUUUGUGGGUGCUUUUUGGAUGAGGUUUUUCUCUGUUGCUUUCUGCCUGAUGGUCACAGGAAGGGGGCAGUCAGGGUCUGGGAGGAGUCCGGGCCUUCCCCCAGUGUGGUUGAGUUUUGGGAGACAGAUGGAGAGGCAGAAGCUGUGCUAUCCCGAAAGGGGAGGGUUUGUAAGAGAUGAGGAGGCCCAGGUAGGGGGAGCUUGCCAGAGGGAGACAGAAACUGGGCCCUUUUCGCACCAUCCAAAGGGAACAGGCUGGAUCCAGCCUUGUCCCCAGGCUCGAGGGGUCAGAUGACCCCAGCCAGAUCUCUGAUCUCUGUUCCUUAUUGCACAGAUCCUUGAUUCUGUCCUUGGGGGACCAAGCAGUGCAGGUCCCAGGCACAUGCAGCCCUCCCCUGUCACACGGCUGCACGUUCACCUCCCUGGGCACGUCUCCAUUCUCCACCCUCCAUUCUCCAGCCUGUCUGGGGGGUGGGGAGCGGGGGUCCAGUGCUAGCCCAGAAGCAGUCCGUGGGUUUCCAUAGGCAGGUUGAAAAGCCGGUGUUCUUUUCCUAAGCGGAGAGGGAGCCUGAAUUAGCUCAAGCUAUCCUAAAAGCAGACCACACCCCGGGAGGGAGGCUUAAACAGCAGAAAUGUGUUUUCUCAUAGUUCUGGUAGCUGGAAGCCCAAGAUCCAGGUGGGAAUGAUGGUUUCUCCCAAGGUCUCUUUCGUUAGCCUGUAGAGAGCCACCUUCUCCGUGUGUCCUCACUGGGCCUUUUCUCUGUGUGCACUUAGUGGGGGAGGGAGGAAGAGGGACCGAUCUGGUGUCUCUUCCUGUUUUUCGAAGGAGUGCCAGUCCUGUCGGAGGAGGGUCCCACUCUUAGGGCCUCUUUGAGCCUUAAUUUCCUCUGUAAAGGUUCCAUCGCCAAAUACGGUGGCUUUGGGGGUGACGGCUGCAACCUAUGGAUUUGCGGGGGCGGGAUCCAGUCACACAGAUGCUUACUGCGAAGGUGGAAAGAAGGAGUCAUCUUCCCCUCAGCAGCCCCACAGCCACGGGGAGAGGGAGGGAGAGCAGACGUAGGGGACGUAGGGACUAAGAGUAGGUGACGUAGGGACCGAGAGUAGGUGACACUGUGCUAGGAUGGUCCCAGUGCUUUAGGGAUACAGGGAGCUGGCUGGACCAGGGCAGUGAGGAGGAGUCCCAGGGGAAGGCUGUCCUGGGAGGAGCCUGAGCUUUGGAGCCGCAGGGUGUGUCUCCCGCUACACAAUCUUGAGCAAGUCACCUCACCUCUGUGAGUCCUAUGUCCAUUCUGUAACAGGAACCAUCUGCUCCGCUGGAGGGGAGGGCAGUGCAGGAGGAGUCAGUAAAGGCUCAUGCCUGCCCAGUGCAGGGCUCCUAGCGGGUUGCUCCGUCAACACUCCCAUCUGUUUGGGGGUUUAGAUUCAGGGCUUAUCUAUUUUCGGUGCUCCAGAACUGCCAGCUCGGCAUCUUCUAAGCCAGAGGCACUUCCGCUGCCUGUGUUUCUUAAUAUCUACCUCAAAUCAGCUUGGGGAGGUAGCUGCACUUUAUGGUCUCCUGAGUAGCUCCAAAUGCCUCCUGGGAUACCCUCUCAUCAGGAGUGAGCGCCUACCAUGGGCCCUUUUUUCCUGUGCUGGUUGCUUGCAGGGGGAUAUAGGUGAAGCUCUAGGCAUGAUUGAAACGUACAGGAUGGCACCGCCAAGCAAUUGGAACUGGAGGACUGGAGAAGCGGGCAGAGAACAGUCCACUCAGUCAUAGGUUCUGAGUGCUCGGGGUUGGGGGGUGGGAGUAAGGUCCCAGAAUCACCUGGGCAGUCUUCCCAGGAAGGUUUUGAAGGAUGAGAAAGAUGUGGCUUAGCUGACAGCUUCCAGGCCCCUGGAAGAGAUUUGCAAAGUAAGUCCUAGGAGAUACCAUUGCUCUUA